AAGUCGGAAUGUUCCCGGCGCGACCACCGGGUGUCAGUGUUGUUCUUCCCCAGAGAGAACUCCUCCCAUCCCCCCACACAGACGCGUCAGCUCAGCUGAACUCCUGGCUCUCACUGCAACGAUACGCGGGAGUUUUACCUCAGGAUUCAUGAACAGUUUUUCAUCGACUUAUUUCUGAUUUAUUUGAAGGAAAAGACCCUGACGGAUAAAAGAUGGAUAAUUUUUUUUCCCGGAGAAGCUAAAACAAUGGUACUUUGAGGUUCUGAUACCAGCUUUUACAAAGUUAUUUACAGAGUUCACAAGACGUCUCUGUGUUAUUCCCUGACCAUGCCGAAAAGCUAUUUGAAACUUGGGCAUUGCAUUUUACAGACAGAAUCCUGCAACUUCCCAGCCAAGAACCAGGAGCACCAACAAAUAACCUCCAGAACCCCAUGAUGAUAUUCCAACUCCUGUCUACAAAAGUGGGAAGAAAAUCUUAAGUCUACAUGUUGGCACCAACAUGGUUGCAUUCUUCUGAGAGGCUGAGGUGACAAAACUAUUCCCAUUUAUCCUUGGCUUGAAAGAUUGAGAUCUCUGCCAUCAAGCCUUCGAUGUUUUUGACAGACAGUCACUCCAGCAAUACACCAUCCUUGGUGAUGUUGACAUGUUUUAAACUUUUUUUAUGUUUUGGACAUUAAUUUUACUAAGCAGUGCAGAUCAGUGUGGGUGUUUUUGCAGACUGUUGUUUACAAACUCCCAAGAACGGAAUCCCUUUCUAAGGUGAUAAUUCAUGUUGAUCAUAUAUUGACUGUUUGUGCAACUUUGUGUUGAUCUUAUGUGUUACAUUAACCAUUUCUUAUUACACGGUUCUCAAAAAUGCUAGAUUCUGAUUGGCCAGUUGAGACAUUCUACUACUGCUCAAAACUAAAAACUCUGAUGCUGCAAAUAAUUUUGACAGGUACUGUUUAAUAUUACACAAAAAUUAAAUAUCAAUGACUAUUAAUUACAUAUCCGACAUUAAAUUUACAAAUGAUUAAACCAAUGUGUUCGUGACAUUUGUCCUGAAGAGACUGUUGGGGCUUUUUUCUGUGAUGACAUGCUGCCAAUACAUUAUCCCUUACUUGUACAACUUUUUACUUGAUGUAAUUGUAAUGUUAACUGGGUAUCUGUCAUUUUAGAUUAUGAGAUAUAAAACUAAUAUAUUUUUUAUCAGAAAGUUGAUUGUUUGUGUAGGGCUAUGUACUCUUUUAUUGUUCAUGUGCAAUAAAUAUUCUUUUUCAAUUAAAUCUAUGCUUUGUUAUUUAUAGACACCACAAUGAAAGGUAUGAAAGCAAUUUAAAUCACAAAAUUUCAGCUUUAAACACAUUAACCAAACAUUGGGUUGUUUCAACCCAACAAAAAGUUAUUUCUACCCAACAGAUGGGUUAAAAAAUAAACCCAACGAGUUGGGUUGAUUGUACAACCCAACUUGUUGGGUUAAAAUAACCCAGCGUUGGGUUGGUCCAUAUUUAACCCAGCGUUGGGUUGCAAAACAACCCAAGUUGGGUUAAUUUUAACCCAACGUUUUUU